rnacentral:piRNA from 1 species
UAGAACGAUUAGGAAAGGACGUUUGCCU